CUUUCUGCGGCAACCAAACGAACAGCACUAGUAAAGGUGACGACGGCAAAGAUUUCGGAGUGUUUGACGAAGAUGAAAAUUGAAGUUUUGCUUGAGGUUCAAUUAGGCUUUUGUGGGAUUUUUGGUCGUGUUCUGGUGAACCGAAGGAGGUUUCAUGAAGGUAACCCGCCAGAGCUUCCGGAGGUAGACGAGGUGAGGAGAGCAAUAGAGGGGAAUUGUUUGAGAAAGUAGAUCAAUCGAGUCAUCAACGCCGACUACACUAAAGUGAUCAACGAAAUCUCACUACCCGAGUUCAAAAUCUCAAUCCUCUGGAAUUUAGAUUCUCCGCCAUUUCCGUCUUUUCAAUUCGGUAAUAUCUCUGAAACACGUUUUGGAGUUUGCUCUGUAUUAUCUAACGCAUGUUAAAGUCUCCACCUUUAUAACUUUGAUGUAUAAGAAAUGAGUGAAAGGUUGAGCUUUAUUGAUGGGUUUCUUCAGGUAUGGCUGGUGCUAUAUAUGUCAAAGGCGUUGAAGUUACUAAGUACAAAAGCUGAAGUCUUAUGGAACUUUCUGUUAAGUCAUUGCAUCUGUGCUUAUUUAAGUUCAUAGAAGUGAAUAGAACAUUGUUUGUAUAGGUCUGCUCUGCUGUAAAGUAAUCAGAGGAGUGACAAUAAGUUCAAAAAUUUUCGUUGAGGUUUGAGGAAUUUGAACACUCAAGAUGAGUUCACUAUUUGCUUUGGUGACAAAUGAAUUCUAAUUUUUUUGGUUUACAGCUUGAUGAUGGUUUGGAGUUCAUUUGCUAAGAAGAGGAGAUUUGCCAUAGAGUUGGAGCUUUCAUUAAGGAGAUUUUCCAAAGUUAGAUUUUUAGUGAAGCCGGUUUCUGUGCGUCCAAUAUUAGAGAUUGGUCAUGAUGCAUUGUUGGAGCCUAUGACAGUUGUGGAUUUGCUAAAAGCUUAGCUAAAAUGUAAAUAACCAUAAAACUCUCUUACUUGAUAAGGUUAAGCAUUUUUUGUCACUUUCCUCUUACACCUUAAAGCAUAGAAAUUAUUACGUAUUUAUAAAUUUAUUUGUAUAAUUUAGAAUAAAAACUCUUAACAAUAAUAUAGAUUUUGUUGAAUAUAUAAUCAAUAUAAUGAUUACUCUAUGGUA